AUGGAAGUCCUACAACUACGGAAUUAAAGAAGCAGCCACAUCAAGACUGGUCAGCUGGGGGUUGUGCUCUGUGCAGCUUUACCCUGGGACCCUGACCCUCUGGAGUAUGGCUGAUCUCCGUGGCAGAGGGAGAAGACAGAGCGGUGAAUUGCACACUGGCUCUUAAAGCUUAUGCCUGACAGUGACACAGCACAAUGCAAGUCACGUGGCUGCACCCAGUGUCAGAAGGUGAGGACGUGCACUCAUACCAUGUGCUUGGGAAAGCUGGACACACUUGGUGGGCAGAACUGUCCCAGAUGAUGACAACUGCUAUGAAGAAAGAAGCCAGGUAGGACACAUGCCCUGAUGUAAACUGAAGUCAAACUUGCAAGCAAGCAAACAGACAAGCAUCUAAGUUCUGUGAAAGCACAGACUGUGCUGGCUUGCCAUCGUGUCUCCAAGCACAGGGGCUGCUCAAUAAAUGAAUGAAGAAGACUGAAUAGUUACAAAGCCAGCUCCACACACACACACUAAAAGAGAAGCCAUCUAGGACGGCACAGUCUGCCUGCUAGAUAUUCAAGAUUACUCUCAUCCACUGUCCGUUCUUUUCUUCAGUGUCUCCCUCUGAAAAUUGGAAGAAGAAAGACAAGUUUCCCUACAGCUCUGAAAUUGGGCAUGCCCUCCACUGCGCUCUUCAGCUGGUCCGGAAGCACAAGUGUUUCUGAAGGGCUGGCUGAGUGCUGUGUAAUCUGCUGGCAUCUGUGGGCCCACCGCCGAAUGCAGGGCAAACAGGCACCAAGUGAG